GGGUAGUUUGACUGGGGCGGUCGCCUCCCAAAGAGUAACGGAGGCGCGCGAUGGUGGGCUCAGGCCGGUCGGAAAUCGGUCGUCGAGUGCAAGAGCAGAAGCCCGCCUGACUGCGACAUCGACGGAUGGAGCAGAGACGAAAGUCGGUUCUAGUGAUCCGGUGGUCCCGCGUGGAAGGGCCAUCGCUCAACGGAUAAAAGGUACUCCGGGGAUAACAGGCUGAUACCGCCCAAGAGUCCACAUCGACGGCGGUGUUUGGCACCUCGAUGUCGGCUCAUCACAUCCUGGGGCUGGAGCAGGUCCCAAGGGUACGGCUGUUCGCCGUUUAAAGUGGUACGUGAGCUGGGUUUAGAACGUCGUGAGACAGUUCGGUCCCUAUCUGCCGUGGGUGUAGGAUGUUUGAGAGGAUCUGUCCCUAGUACGAGAGGACCGGGAUGGACGUACCUCUGGUGUACCAGUUGUCGCGCCAGCGGCACCGCUGGGUAGCUAUGUACGGACGGGAUAACCGCUGAAAGCAUCUAAGCGGGAAACCCACCUCAAAACGAGACAUCCCUGAGAGCCGUGAAAGACCAUCACGUCGAUAGGCCGGGUGUGGACGCGCAGCAAUGCGUGCAGCUAACCGGUACUAAUCGCUCGAUCGGCUUCAAGUC
rnacentral:ncRNA from 1 species